rnacentral:misc_RNA from 1 species
AGUGGGAGCGAGCUUGCUCGCGAUGGCGAUGGUUCAGCCGGCCAUAAUGUUGACUGACAGACCGCUAUCGCGAGCAAGCUCGCUCCCACA